rnacentral:rRNA from 1 species
CCUACGGGCGGCUGCAGUAGGGAAUCUUCCACAAUGGACGAAAGUCUGAUGGAGCGACGCCGCGUGAGUGAAGAAGGGUUUCGGCUCGUAAAGCUCUGUUGGUAGUGAAGAAAGAUAGAGGUAGUAACUGGCCUUGAUUUGACGGUAAUUACUCAGAAAGUCACGGCUCACUACGUGCCAGCAGCCGCGGUAAUACGUAGGUGGCAAGCGUUGUCCGGAUUUAUUGGGCGUAAAGCGAGUGCAGGCGGUUCAAUAAGUCUGAUGUGAAAGCCUUCGGCUCAACCGGAGAAUUGCAUCCGAAACUGUUGAACUUGAGUGCAGAAGAGGCGAGUGGAACUCCAUGUGUAGCGGUGAAAUGCGUAGAUAUAUGGAAGAACACCAGUGGCGAAGGCGGCUCUCUGGUCUGCAACUGACGCUGAGGCUCGAAAGCGUGGGUAGCGAACAGGAUUAGAUACCCCUGUAGUC